CUCCUUGAUGCUGAUUGAGAGCACCAGGGACUCGCUGUGCUUCAGCGUCACCCACUACAAGCACAGCAAGCAGCAGUACAACAUCCAGGCCAAGAGCGUGGAGGAGAAGCGGGUCUGGACCCACCACAUCAAGAGGCUCAUCCUGGAGAACCACCACGCAAUCAUCCCCCAGAAGGCUAAGGAAGCGAUCUUGGAAAUGGACUCCUCCCGUAAGUGCUCGCUCCAG